rnacentral:tRNA from 1 species
AAUAGAGUGCCUGAAUUAAAGGGUUAUCUUGAUAGGAUAAAUCAUGUAGACGCUACCUCUAUUA